rnacentral:lncRNA from 1 species
CGGCAAGGUACGUGACCUCCCUGUGCCUCAGGUUCUUGCAGAGUGGAAAUGCCCACUUCGCAGAAUGGCUGUGGGUGUGGAUGAGACGAUGUAGUGGACACUCCUGCCUGGCACCCAUGGGUGCUCAUGAAGAUUGUGUUAGCUGUUGGCUGCAAUAUGUUGUGACUUAUCAUGUGUGAUCCUUGAGUGAAGAGGCAGCUGCGAGCCUGAACUGACUCCUAUGAACUAGUCUUCUCCAGCAAUAGACCCUUCUUCAACUUAUGGUAGCCUGUACGCCAAGGGUGACAGACUGGAAAGCAGGAUCUACUGGGACAUCUAUGGGAAAAGGAGGGGGAAUGAGAUCAAGGAUUGAGGACGCUAAUGGGGCACCAGCUCCAGAAUGGCCAUCACUGAGCACAUAGAGGAGUGAAAUUUAAGGGGGCAGAGUGGAGUGUUCAUAGAUUCGAGUUCAACAUGAUUGAAGAUGGAAGGUAGAAGGCAGAAGGCACGUGUGGUCCAUUUACCUUGGACAACAAGUACAUGGUCUACAAGGUGUCCACAUUGGCCUCUGGGAACCACGGACAGGGCCAAUGUAUAAUCACGGGGCUAUGCAAGGAUCAGCAUCCCAUGUUUACACUGACACUGCAACUGAACAGGUAGGAAAGGUGUGUUGGUGGAGAAAACAUUCCAACAGGUAAAUUGCCAUGUAAUGUAUUAUCCAGACCAAAGCUCUUUUUAGAAUAAAAAGAGAGUGCUAAUAACAAUUUUGCCAGGGCAAGAGGCGUAAGUGGGACUGUCCUGGCCAAUGGGGUGAUGGCCACCCCCACCUACAGUCUACCAGGAUGACAGAGCACUGGGUGCAGACCUAGGAGAGGUGGAGAGGAGUGGCAUGAGGUCCUUGCUGGGGCCUGUGACAAGAGGACAGGCUGGAGCUGUCUGGAUGGAGGACUUACUGGGCC